UACGAAGGGGGCUAGCGUUGCUCGGAAUCACUGGGCGUAAAGGGCGCGUAGGCGGCCAUUCAAGUCGGGGGUGAAAGCCUGUGGCUCAACCACAGAAUUGCCUUCGAUACUGUUUGGCUUGAGUUUGGUAGAGGUUGGUGGAACGUGCGAAGUGUAGAGGUGAAAUUCGAUAGAUAUUCGCAAGAACACCAGUGGCGAAGGCGGCCAACUGGACCAACACUGA
rnacentral:rRNA from 1 species